GCUCUCAGAGGCGAAGAAGGACGUGAUAAGCUGCGAAAAGCUGCGGGGAUUGGCACAUACAAUAGAUCCCAGAUUU
rnacentral:rRNA from 1 species